ACCUUCCACGGCUGCCUGGCCCGCACACCUGGCGGGGCCGGCGAGUUGAGAUGCCCCCGCCGGCUGGCGGAACUGUGCGCCCCGCCCGCCGAGGCCCGCUCCCCCUCGAGGCCUGAGGCCCAGUUCUAUAGGGGCGCGAGAGAGCGGCGGCGUGGGGGGCGCGGAGGAAGCGCCGGCCCCCGCCUCCACCGCCUCCUUCGUGGUUGCGGCCCAGGCCGAACAGGGUACCGUGCCCCGGCCGCCUUGGCCUUGGCCACCGCGAGGUCCGGGGCGACUACACCCAGCAGCCCUGUGGCCCUCCUACUGCUCUGGAGACCUGGAGUGGGGUUACAGAGGGAAGCGACUCGCUGCGAGCUCCCCAUCGAAUAUGGAGCCACCAGGUCACGGGACGACGUGCGCUCUACAGAAUGUGAGACAAGGGCCCUCCACACCCAGCCAUUCAGGCCUGAGGUCCUGGCUCCGAGACUGAGGCCGAGACGCGGCAAGCCCCGCGCCGGACCAGCUCUGCCCCUCCCGCACCCACGUGUCUGCGCACAGCCCUCCUUUGCGAUAGAACCCCCUUCCUGGUUCUCCACCACUAAUGAUCUGCCGGAAUUAAACUGGUAACUUUCCCUGCCCUUGAACCGGGAGUUUCGGGAUGAGUUUGCCAAUCCCUGUGCUAUUUGUAACCAGCCCCGUGACACGUGAUACGGAUCCAACUGUGCUAGUUUCCACACCAGGGGUCAGGGCACGGUGGAAGGUGAGUCAAGGGUUCUCUGCCCAAGCGCAGAGGUGCCCUGAGCCACGGGGACUUCCCAGCCCUGCCUUCUCUUCUCAGCUUCCUGUCUGCCUUGCCUGAAACCCUAUCUAGAGUUAAGGCCAAUGGAUGAAACUUUUCAAUGUGCAAGCAAGCACUUUACCUACCUGAUACAACAAGAGAUUCCUGGUCAUGCUCACUGAAGUGUUCUCAUCUGUAAUGUGAGAAUAACCAGACCUACCUCGAAGGAUGUCUUGCUUGAAGAGUAAAUAUCUGGCACAUGGAGAGUGAUCAAUAAAUGGAUUUCUCCUUAACUACUACUCGUCUAGCUACACUCAUCUCAUCUUCCACCUGUGGCUCAGGAAGCUUGAGCUGAUGAAUCCAUGGAGACUGUAAAGAAAUAGCAGGGGAGGUCGAUCAGGGUGCUCACUGAGAGCAAACUGUGGCUCUGUUGAUUUCUGAUGCCCAGUUGGCAAUGGUUGGAGUUCCCAGCCUGCCAGCUCAGCUGUUUCUCCCUAUAGCGCAUCUCUCAGUUAUUUCUAGGAGUUCUUAAAGGUGUGCAUCGCAUCAUCUCAAAAACCAGCCCGUCCAACUUGUGUUAUCUGCCCUGUUGAUCUACCUUUGUUUUCCCAAGGUCUGCAGCCUCCAAAGCUUCUGAAAUGGGACUUGCUGCUGCUGGUAUCUUUAGAGGGGCAUGUGGUAUCCUGCCAAGGGUGAUUCCUUAGCCUGUCAGUGGCCCAGGGCUCAGGAUUCUACCUGCCUCACAUCUCCUGGAUCCAUCUGCAUGUCUUGGCCCAAUCUCCAUAUCCUCGGUUCUGGCCCCUCCACUACCUGGUUGCCACUGAUGAUUCCAAGGAUUCAGAUCAGCUCACAGUGCUCCAAAAAUAUAGCAAAGUGAAACAAAUGUGCAAAUAAAUGAUAAAAACAAAAGAAGAAAAAGAAAGAAAAGACUUAUUGUAUAUCCUACCUCCUUCAAACAGCUUGCUGUGAUGUGCAUGGUGGUGUGGGAACCUUCUGAUGUCAUACAUACAGGUUUCCUUCGCCUUCUGUCUUGAUUGGAAACAGCCUGAAGCCCUCACCAGAAGCCAGAGGCAGAUGCUGGUGCCAUGCUUCUUGUACAGUCUGCAGAACUGUGAGCCAAAUAAACCUCUUUUCUUUAUAAAUUACCCAGCCUCGGGUAUUCCUUUAUAGUAACACAAACACACUAAGACAAUACCAAUUCAGAAUUCAGGCCUUCUCAUCAACAAAUCUUUCCUCUUCCAACCACCUCAGCCAACACCUCCUACCAGCUCACCCUGGACCAGGGACUACCUGAAACAGCCCCUUCUGCAAAAACAGGAAUUGGAGCAUCUCUUUCCAUCUUGCUUUUCCAGCCAUUCCUGCUACAACUGUCCUUCACUCUAACUAGACCCUUCACUUGUUCCAAUUAACUAUUUUUUCUUUACUUCUUUCUUGUGUAGUUUAGAUUCUAUGCUCUAUCAAUUCAGUAGCAGUCUCUCUGAUAGACUUAAAUUUCAAAGCCUGUGUCUUUGCAUCAUGCCAUCUGGUAAUGUUGCCAUUACCUACUUUUCUGAGCCUGUCCUCAGUAGCUAAGUGCUACUGGUGAACGACCCAACUCUAAAAUUGACUGCUAUCUGUGUAAAUCAAUGUUCACUAAACUGAAGUGGGCCCUCAACAAUGCCUGGCUACCCAACCCCAUUUUGUUCCUAGGCUCACUUUCUGCAUAACUGUUUUCAGCAGGUAGUCCCAAAGUCCAGUGAGCCUUUUUCCCUGCUCAGGUGACAGACACCCUUGAUGGUUCUGAUCCUUGCCUGGCCAGCAUGGUUCUUCAGGGAAGACAACAAGCAAGGGUAAAGCAAGGGUAAAUCCUUGGCCAAGCACACUCCCCCUAUAGUGCCCCUGGCUUGGAGUCCCAGUGUUAUAGCUCUUUAGUUUGCUCUUCAGUGCUUGAUACCUGAAGCAUACUUGCUUCCAGCCCAGGUCAGGGAGCUUCAAGUCUGUGCCAAAGCUGUGCCAAAGCUGAAUCUCCCUUCAUGGUGACUUUUCCCUGAUAUUGGACCCAGGUCAGUGUUCUAAGCUCACUUCACUUCUGAUGAGUUCUUCCUUCAGGGCCCUAGAUAUUUCUUGCUAGAGACCUAAGUCUGAAUUAUCUCCAUCCAUCAGCAUGGCUUAAAAUAAGGAUUGGUGAACUUAUUCUGUAAUAGGCUAGAUAGCAAAUAUUUUAGGCCCUAUAGGUCAUUUGAGUUAUUUGGUCUCUGUUGCAACUACUCACCUCUACCAUCACAGCUAGAAAGCAGCCAUAAACAUAGACAAUAUAAACAAAUGAGCAUGGCUAUGAUUCAAUACAACUUUACUUAUGAACACCAAUAUUUGAAUUUCAUAGAAUUUUCACGUCACAAAAUAUUCUUCUUUUAAUUUUUUUCAGCCAUUGAAAGUAUAAGUUCUCCUAUUCAAGUAGGUGUAGUUAGAAAUAAACAAAAUAAAGUCAUUCUUAGUUCACUGGUCUUACAAAAACAGGAGGCAGCCAGAUUUGGCCCUUGGGCUAUAGCUUGCUCACUUCUGCAAUACUAAUUUGUUGAACUUAAAAAGAAAUAGGGGGUAAAUCUGGCAAGAUGGUGGAGUAGAAAAUACCAGGAAUCUAUCUCCCCACUUAGACAAUGAUUUGCUGGCAGAAUCUGUUUGAUGUAACUGUUUUAUAACUCUGAAAUCUAUUGCAGGCUUAAAAACUUCCAGUGGAAGGUUGGGCAGUAAAUUGCAGUUAC
rnacentral:lncRNA from 1 species